rnacentral:misc_RNA from 1 species
GAAUCUAUAGUAUGCUUGCACCUGUAAAAACAAACCAAGCAAGGAUGAAUAAUACAAUAAAGUAGACAGAUUUUAUGGAAUGUGCAUCCGCUGCCAAUCCAUGAGCUGUAGCUGUGGAUCCAACGGGUGAUAAACCUUUCUUCAAGUUUCAAUCAAUAUUCCGCCGUAUGAUAGGUGGCUAACUAGACACUGCGACCCAGCUAGACUGCUCAGAUCUCUAUAAAAUACUUUUGAUUGAUUAAACAUGCUGAACUGUAGUGGUAAUAUAGUAAAUAUCAGUAAACUUACUGCCUUUUACCUUGAGAAUCCAUGCAACG